rnacentral:rRNA from 1 species
UAACACGUGUAGCAAUCUGCCGGGAAGUGGGGGAUAACUCGUUCGAAAGACGAAUUAAUACCGCAUAUGGCCAGGAGGGACAUCCUUCCGACGCCAAAGUCGCAAGACGCUUCCUGAUGAGCUCGCGGCCUAUCAGCUAGUUGGUGAGGUAACGGCUCACCAAGGCAAUGACGGGUAGCUGGUCUGAGAGGACGACCAGCCACACUGGAACUGAGACACGGUCCAGACACCUACGGGUGGCAGCAGUCGAGAAUUUUUCACAAUGGGGGAAACCCUGAUGGAGCGACGCCGCGUGGAGGAUGAAGGUUUUCGGAUUGUAAACUCCUGUCAAAUGGGAACAAGAAAGUGAUAGUACCAUUAGAGGAAGAGACGGCUAACUCUGUGCCAGCAGCCGCGGUAAUACAGAGGUCUCAAGCGUUGUUCGGAUUCAUUGGGCGUAAAGGGUGCGC